rnacentral:rRNA from 1 species
UACGUAGGAGGCAAGCGUUGUUCGGAAUUACUGGGCGUAAAGGGCUCGUAGGUGGCCAACUAAGUCAGACGUGAAAUCCCUCGGCUUAACCGGGGAACUGCGUCUGAUACUGGAUGGCUUGAGUUCGGGAGAGGGAUGCGGAAUUCCAGGUGUAGCGGUGAAAUGCGUAGAUAUCUGGAGGAACACCGGUGGCGAAGGCGGCAUCCUGGACCGACACUGACGCUGAGGAGCGAAAGCCAGGGGGAGCAAACGGG